rnacentral:rRNA from 1 species
UACGGAGGGAGCUAGCGUUGUUCGGAAUUACUGGGCGUAAAGCGCACGUAGGCGGCUACUCAAGUCGGGGGUGAAAGCCCGGGGCUCAACCCCGGAACUGCCCUCGAAACUAGGUAGCUAGAAUCUUGGAGAGGCGAGUGGAAUUCCGAGUGUAGAGGUGAAAUUCGUAGAUAUUCGGAAGAACACCAGUGGCGAAGGCGACUCGCUGGACAAGUAUUGACGCUGAGGUGCGAAAGCGUGGGGAGCAAACAGGAUUAGAAACCCCCGUAGUCC